AUACGGAGGACGCGAGCGUUAUCCGGAUUCAUUGGGUUUAAAGGGUGCGCAGGCGGCCGUGCAAGUCAGCGGUGAAAGCCCGGGGCUCAACCCCGGAAGUGCCGUUGAUACUGCGUGGCUGGAAUGCGGUCGAGGCGGGCGGAACGGGGCGUGUAGCGGGGAAAUGCGUAGAUAUGCCACAGAACGCCGAUAGCGGAGGCAUCUCGCCAGGCCUGCAUUGACGCUCGGGCACGAAAGCGUGGGGAUCGAACAGGAUCAGAUACCCUGGUAGUCCACGCCGUAAACGAUGGGCGCUCGUCGUCGGCGACAGACAGUCGGCGGCCAAGCGAAAGCGAUAAGCGCCCCACCUGGGGAGUACGGUCGCAAGGCUGAAACUCAAAUGAAUUGGCGGGG
rnacentral:rRNA from 1 species